rnacentral:rRNA from 1 species
AUUGAACGCUGGCGGCACGCCUUACACAUGCAAGUCGAACGGCAGCACGGGUGCUUGCACCUGGUGGCGAGUGGCGAACGGGUGAGUAAUACAUCGGAACGUACCUUAUCGUGGGGGAUAACGCAGCGAAAGCUGUGCUAAUACCGCAUACGCCCUGAGGGGGAAAGCGGGGGAUCGAAAGACCUCGCGCGAUUAGAGCGGCCGAUGCCUGAUUAGCUUGUUGGUGGGGUAAAAGCCCACCAAGGCGACGAUCAGUAGCUGGUCUGAGAGGACGAUCAGCCACACUGGGACUGAGACACGGACCAGACUCCUACGGGAGGCAGCAGUGGGGAAUUUUGGACAAUGGGGGCAACCCUGAUCCAGCAAUGCCGCGUGAGUGAAGAAGGCCUUCGGGUUGUAAAGCUCUUUUGUCAGGGAAGAAACACCGGCUCUAACACAGUCCGGGAAUGACGGUACCUGAAGAAUAAGCACCGGCUAACUACGUGCCAGCCGCCGCAGUAA